CUUCUCGCACUCUCACUGAGGGUCAGGUGUUUACCUGUGCAGGUAAUGCUCUGUGCCCCUGCUGCGGCUACUGCUUCGUUUCAUUUAUCACUGUCCUCAUGCUUAAAGCCGGUGUGUUUUCACUGCGGAGCAGCGACUUCGUGCUCCGUUUAGUCCCCGGUCUUCUCUAGCGGUGGUAGAUGACUGCUGCCGUGUGGGUCUCUCUCUCCCUCCCUCUCCCUGUGCAGGUUUGAUCUUGAAAACAGGGAACGCUCCUCAGCUGGCCGAAAUCUACAGGUGGCGAUUCAUGUGACUCCUCCACCAGCUGAUUGGGGCCACUGCUGUUUUGUAUCUGCGGCUAAUCACAGUUUCUCUGCUGCUAAUCACAGUUUCUCUGCUGCUAAUCACAGUUUCUCUGCUGCUACAUACGACGUUGUCCCCUGCCUUAUCUCUGGCAGCCACUUAUUCCUGGCUGCUCUGUGCUGCUUGGUGCUGGUGCUGUUGCUGACUUUUUGCUACAGCCGGCUUGCAUGGUGGACUGCCGACACCACACCUUUAACCUGUUUAUCCCUGUCAUUUUAGCUGAAUGAUUGUGAGGAGUUAAUCCCUUGGUUUUGUAUUGCUUGUUUUGUAUUCUGUAUUCUUUUGAUUGGGUGGAUUGUUUUGUUUAUUUUGAACUAUUUCCUGCUUUGUUGUAUAUUGUUUUGUACAUUUUGGGUUAAUUAUUUCCGUUGUAACUUCCUUUUUGUUUCCAUCUCAGUGGCUGUAGGCUGGUGGUGGUGCUGGUGACGUGGGUGGUGGUGUCCCUCCUUCUUGUGUGCUGUGCUUCCUUAGAUUUGGUGAUACCAGUGUGACUGCCACAUGUGUCUGGGUGAACCCUCUUCCUUUAAUUUAGUUUUGUUGAGUCCCCUUCCCCCUCACCUGCUCUUUCCCCACCAGUAGGCCUCAGCCCCUGAUUAGGUUAUUUCUUUGUUUAUUUAGGGUUAAUGUUCAUUUUUAUGAUAACAUAUAUUUUAUUAAAUAAAGUAUUUUUGUAAACUGGGAACCACGUGUCUUGCCUGUCGAGUGGAACAAACCUGUGUCUUUGAUCAAUGUAAAAUAAUAUAUAAUAAUUCCUUGGGUGCAAGUCCCAAGGUGGCGUUGUCGAGCAACCUAAGAUUCACAUUGAGAGCCUCCACGCCGCCACAUGUA